rnacentral:rRNA from 1 species
AUGCCAGCCAGGGAGUCAUCUUGGCUCGACGCGGUCCUUUGCGUCUUGAACCUCGCGUUUGGCUUUAAAAAGAAGCUAUUUCUAACGAAGGGUCAAUGGGAGAAAAAGGUAGUGUAUACAUUUUAUUUAGAGCUUAUCUAUGACCUUGUGCACUUGUCUUUAUAUAUGCUCUUCUUCGUAGAUAUCUUCCUGAACCAUGGUGACCGACUGCACUUGAUCCGUGAGCUGUACGAGACCUUCCGUAAGUUCAAAAUUCGUGUUUCAGAUUAUGUGCACCACAGAAAGAUAACUUCCAGCAUGAAUGGACAGUUUCCAGAUGCUACAGCACAUGAGCUUAUUGUGAGUGAUGUUACAUGUAUUAUCUGUCGUGAAGAGAUGACAACAACAAAGAAGCUACUUUGCAUCGGUGCUCCAGGUUCAGAAGGAGUAACAAGCAAGAACGUGAACAGGCGCCCAACAAAACUUGAGGCCUACAUGAACUGGUGCCCAACAAAACAGGCAAUCUUCGUUGAAUGUUGUAACAUAUUUACAACUGGAUUCAAUUUUAAGUCAGAAAUAAAAGUUGUUCAAGUUUCAGACAUUAUAUGA